rnacentral:rRNA from 1 species
CUCCGGGUGAUCCCGCCGGACCCGACUGCUAUCAGAGUGGGACUAAGCCAUGCGAGUCAACGUAGCAAUACGUGGCAUACGGCUCAGUAACACGUAGUCAACAUGCCCAGGGGACGAGGAUAACCUCGGGAAACUGAGGAUAAACCUCGAUAGGCCAUGAUUUCUGGAAUGAUUCUUGGCUCAAACCUAUAUGGCCCCUGGAUUGGACUGCGGCCGAUCAGGCUGUUGGUGAGGUAAUGGCCCACCAAACCUAUUACCGGUACGGGCUCUGAGAGGAGGAGCCCGGAGAUGGGCACUGAGACAAGGGCCCAGGCCCUAUGGGGCGCAGCAGGCGCGAAACCUCUGCAAUAGGCGAAAGCUUGACAGGGUUACUCUGAGUGAUUUCCGCUAAGGGAAUCUUUUGGCACCUCUAAAAAUGGUGCAGAAUAAGGGGUGGGCAAGUCUGGUGUCAGCCGCCGCGGUAAUACCAGCACCCCGAGUGGUCGGGACGAUUAUUGGGCCUAAAGCAUCCGUAGCCGGUUCUGCAAGUCCCCCGUUAAAUCCAGCUGCUCAACAGAUGGGCCGCGGAGGAUACUACAGAGCUAGGAGGCAGGAGAGGCAAGCGGUACUCAGUGGGUAGGGGUAAAAUCCGUUGAUCCAUUGAAGACCACCAGUGGCGAAGGCGGCUUGCCAGAAUGCGCUCGACGGUGAGGGAUGAAAGCUGGGGGAGCAAACCGGAUUAGAUACCCGGGUAGUCCCAGCCGUAAACGAUGCAGACUCGGUGAUGGGUUGGCUUCGCGCUAACCCAGUGCCGCAGGGAAGCCGUUAAGUCUGCCGCCUGGGUAGUACGGUCGCAAGACUGAAACUUAAAGGAAUUGGCGGGGGAGCA